ACACAUGCUCUUGCUCUCUCGCGCUCUGGGAGAGCGCUUAUAUGGGCUUCAUGAGGCUAAGUAAUAAACACUUUGUCUUCACCCUGCUAUUUAUGGGUUGCUUGGGGCAUCCUGUGCUCUCCACUGCCCUUACCUGAACAGACGGCUCAUGCAGACCCGGAGUUUAAUAGGGACAACAGUAAAUCUGAGAGGCUGUGUGUGUCCCACGCGCUCCUGUUUUCCCAGCCACCCAUGCUAGUUGCAGAGAAAAGCCAACCUGUAUCCCUUCGUUUAUGCUCUGUGUGCCCUUCCUGGAGAGAUCCCUUCAUUCUUCAGCAAUGGAUCAAAGAACUCUGAAAACAAGAACAACCCCGACAGCUGCAAACCACGAGCCCUCACCUCCAGCAGAGGUUUUCGGGAAACUCUGGACGACCACGCGCAUGCAGAGGUAAGGGAAUGAUCCGGUCCUACCUGGCGUUGACUUCCAGGUUCACUCAAAGGCCACGUGCCACCCUUUGCACAUCGUGUUUGGGUUGCAAAGGGGAAAGAUGCAUAUUGAAAGCCAGAAGUGUGCCCAGGCCAACAGACGUCUGAAAGCCACAGGGGACGACCCUGAAAAAGUCUGGCAGAUGCAGAACCACAGCUGAUCACUUUGGUCCGUUUGAGGGCCCCUUUCGCUCAGCUCUUUUGGGGGUUCCAGGGCUCUCAGAGCUUCCAGGUCCUGUAAGAAGAGAUGGAGUCAUAGCUGCGCCCUGUCCACUCUCGGGCUGUCACACAAGCCUGGAGCCCAGCCAUUUCUCGGCCUUGUCUUCAUCUUGGGCUAACCGGUCGUCUCCUGCAAACAGACAGCACGGAGAAGGAUGAGUGAACUCGGCCUCUCCCCACAGAAUACAGUUCGCCAUUACAGCGCUGAUUAAAUACAGGACAUUAUCUCACCAUAAUGCCCUCCUGGCGGCGUUCCCAGGAAAAUUCUAACUAAUCAUAAAAAUAGAAAGAAAAACGCAACCUAAAUUCCAUUCCUCGUCUUAAAUGAGUGAUGUGUUCACUUUUAUUUAUUUUUCUGGAAGCGAGGCGGGAAAAGAAAAUGAAUUUUAGGGCUUAGAAAAACAAGCUACUAAUAGUACUAAGUAGAGCUGGGGCGGUGGUGCAGACAGCUUAGCUCUAGCAGGGAUGUAGCCGGCAUGGCACGGGUGAGUCCUGGCCCUGCUCCUGGCUGAAAACUUAAGAGUUUAGAACUGGAGCACCUGGCAGGGCAAAGGCAGGAUGGGGUGAGGGAAAGUUGUGGGGUUGAGUGUGGACCCCCCCAACCCCCUACAAAUGCACACACAAGCUAGGCGCUCAAUAGCUUUCUUAUAGCCCAGGUAGGCAAAUCCUCUUCCAAUAUACCUUUGAAAAUAAUGCCUGAUCUUUCUCCAGCAGCAUUCUUUUUGGAAACACAGGCAUAGUUUAGGUAUUUUUCUCCCUGGAAGGUUCUUUCCUGGAAGUUCACCCAAUUAAUUCCUACUCACACAUUUUAGAGAUCUGAACAGUAAGAAGCCUUCUCUAAGAACCCCUACCCUGACUCCAGUCCAGGGGCUGGUCCUGUAAACCUUCUCUUCAUAACAGCCAUGUGACUGUAAUUAAUGCAAUAACUGCAUAGUUGAUUGUUUAACAUGGUUGUCUGUCCCCUCCCUUAGAUUAAAAAUGUGUUUGUCUUAUUCCUGACUUUGUAAGUACUAGGUACAAAGUAGCUGCCCAAUACAUGCCUGUGUUGGAUGAGUGCUGACGGGUCACGGUGGGCGCC
ensembl:lncRNA HCCAT5 hepatocellular carcinoma associated transcript 5